rnacentral:rRNA from 1 species
GAUGAACGCUAGCAGGAGGCUUAAUACAUGCAAGUCGAGCGGGAUUGGGCAGCAAUGCCCAUGAGAGCGGCGCACGGGUGAGUAACGCGUACACGACCUACCUCUGACAAGGGGAUAGCCCUGGGAAACUGGGAUUAAUACCCUAUACGAUUCCGGAUAAUAAAGGUCUGGAAUGAAAGCUCCGGCGGUCAGAGAUGGGUGUGCGUCUGAUUAGCUAGUUGGUAGGGUAACGGCCUACCAAGGCGAUGAUCAGUAGGGGGCGUGAGAGCGUGGUCCCCCACACGGGUACUGAGACACGGACCCGACUCCUACGGGAGGCAGCAGUAAGGAAUAUUGGUCAAUGGGCGCAAGCCUGAACCAGCCAUCCUGCGUGCAGGAAGAAGGCCCUAUGGGUUGUAAACUGCUUUUGUCAGGGAAUAAACCUGUGGAUUUAUCCGCAGAUGAAGGUACCUGAAGAAUAAGCACCGGCUAACUCCGUGCCAGCCGCCGCCGUAAGAC